UUUACACAAACAGCAUCAGUACAAAAAGCUGCCCAGCAGCAUUACAUAAACAGUAUGCUUCUUUACAAAAUUAUGACCCCCAAAAAUUUACAGACACUAUCAAAAAUGCAGUAAUUACAAGCCCACAAGACAUCCAGACCACACAUCAUUUGUUUCUCUUACUUGUCACCAACUUCUCUAUUCUUUGCCUACUUUGUGUUUGUAAUUGUUUUCCAGUAAUAGCAGCUUUCCCAUUCAAUGUAAGGCUGCCUGGUGAGUAAGGAAGAUCAGAUGGAACACUUAAACCAUUGUGAUCACCUUN
rnacentral:lncRNA from 1 species